CCGGGAGAAGGUAGGGUUCCGGGAGCUAGGAGCUGGGAGGGCUCCUGGGGAUGACGUACAUCUGGGGCCUCCCCAAAGCCGGUCCGGUUGGGGGCGGUAGGUAUUGGAGAUACAAGGAGAAAGAAUGAAGGAGGUCUUGUCUUCAAGCAGCUUACACCAUAAAAGAUAAGUGCAUCUUUAAGUCUGGUACAAAGCAGAGUGUGGGAAGCCUCUUGUUUCAGAGAAGGGCCUUUCCCUAAUACUUGUUCUAUAAGGAGUGACACUGGCCAUCUGUCUUAGGUUGGGAUGCCUGGGCUACUAAAGGGAUGAGGAGAAGUGGCAUCUGAAGUAGGGGAACAGUAGAAAAACAACUUGUAGAUGGGAUUGAGCCCUUAAAAUCGGGGCAGAGGCUGGAGCAGGGGAGUCUCAAUAGGUCAGGAGUUCAGGCAAGAGGUAUGAAGAGGGGGGCAGCUAGACAGCUCAGUGGGAAUUAUCCUCAUCCUCCUCUCUACUCCUUUCUGCCAGCCACCUCCUUGCCAGCUGUCCAGUCAGAGUCCUGGGCUUCCCGCUGCGUUAUCAAGGUAUUCUGUGGAGGUUGCAGCCUUGGCUUUGGGAUCUUAGUCAGCAAGAUUCUUACCAUGGCUCUCAGCUCAGUCCAUGGAGGAGGGGUGUUGGAGAUUGAGCUUCCUUGCCCUCUGAAGGCUUCAUAUCUGUCCUAUUGAUAGACUAGAUUAAGCCAGGCAGAGCUGAUCUAUAGAGCUGGAUGUGCCCUGAGGCCAAAACCUCAAGAAGUGGAGGCCCCAAAUGAAGUGGCUGCGACCAGGCUGCCCUAUUCUCCAUGCUCUCCUUCAGCCACCUCCCCAUGGGCUGUGGUCAGAGUCCUGAGACUAUCACAGCUAUGGCAGCAAGACACUCCCUCCAACCUGAAAUUCCAGCCACUGCCAGAGUCUCAGCACAGUAGGUAGGGGAGGGGUCUUGGGACCUUUUCCUUUUCCUUAAACCUGAGAAUUUAGGCUUCUUUGCAUACCUUUUAAAUUGAGCCGAGUAGGAGGGUCCCCUAGCUCUAUCCUGUUGUUAGAUUUGGUUUUCUACCCCCUGGAAGCACUUUGAUUUUCAUCUGUGUGGAAAGGUUUUUGAAGAGGACUCAAUUUUAGCUGCUUCUAAGUGGCCAUCUUGACUCUUCCUUCCCCCCUCCCCCCCACCUCCUCCCCACCUUGGCUCAGUGGUUUGAGAGCCAGGCCUAGGGAUGGGAGGUUCAAAUCUGGCCUUGGACACUUCGUAGCUGUGUGACCCUGGGCACUUAACUCCCAUUGCCUUACCCAUACCACUUUUCUGACUUGGAACCAAUGUUCAGUCUUGACUCUAAGACAGAAGGUAAAGGUUUAAAAAAAAUAAAAGGUAAUGAAGAAAUGAAACAAGGUGAGUUUAAUAAACACUAAGCCCUGGAAGACCCCAAGGAUGGGAAGAACCUAAGGAACAAAGGGAACACAACCCUUGCUUAUUACACUUUCAAUUAUAAGGGCAGGUUCUAAGGUUGAUAUUGUUUUGAGAUGUGGGGAAAGUCAGAAGGAGAACUUAACCUGUGAAAGGGGGUAAGGAGCAGGAAUCACCAAGAUGUUAAAUUACUUCUGUCUUCAGCUAAUAUAGAUGUUUUAUCCAGUAUUUCUUAUGCUCUUGAAAGAGCCCCUGAGGCAAAGUUCCUGACUCUGGAAUCUGCUUUAUUUCUUAACCAUUCUGAGGUGUUCCUAUCCGGCCUUAGGAGGAUCACAUAGCACUUGGGAAUAAAGAUGCAGACCAGUAAUCCUAUACUGGAGGCUAAGAUGGCAAAGACCUCCAUGGCCACCAUGGCUUUUCCCUUGGAACUCUGGUAUGUGGGAAGGAAGCAGACCCACACACUGCAGAAGACCAGCAUGCUAAAGGUGAUGAACUUGGCUUCAUUGAAAGUGUCAGGGAGGUUCCUGGCCAGGAAAGCCACCAUGAAGCUACCCAACGCCAGGAUGCCCAUGUAGCUCAGGACACAGUAGAAGGCAAUUACAGAACCCUCCUUACACUCAAUGAUGAUGUGGCCAGGCUCUGAGUGAGUGUCUGUACCUAAGAAGGGAGGUGAGGUCCCCAGCCAGAUCCCACAGAGAAUGACUUGGAUCAUAGAGCAUAUGAGGACAAGAAAAUUAUACACCUGAGGUUGUACCCACAUCCUGAUCUUGCUCCCUGGUCUUGUGGCCUUGAAGGCCAGAACCACCAUGAUGGUUUUGGCCAAAACAGAGGAAACUGCCAUUGUGAACACAACUCCAAAUGUUGUUUGCCGAAGAAGACAGGUUACUGUGGUAGGACGGCCAAUGAAAAGCAAAGAACAAAGGAAACAAAAGAUGAGAGAGAUGAGAAGAGUAUAGCUGAGAAUCCUGUUGUUGGCUUUGACAAUAGGAGUAUCUUGAUGCUUGACAAAGAGGAUGAGGAUCAGAAGUGUGAGGAGAGAGAAGGAAAGAGCCAUGCAGGUCAGAAUCAAUCCCAAAGGUUCUUCAGUGUUGAGGAAGGUCACAACCUUUGGGAGGCACCGAUCUUUCUCUCUGUUUGGAUAUUGAUCUUCUGGGCACUUCAUACAAUUGUCCAUAUCUGCAAUUUAGUAAGCAAUUAUUAAGAAUCCACUACUUCCAAAGUUCUGUACUAGGCAAUGGAGAAAUACAAUAAAACAAAACAAAAUGGUCCCUGUCCUCAGGCAUCUUGUGUUGACUUUACUAGUGAGAUGUAACAUAUACUCAAAUGAAUCAACUCAGGGUGAUUUGAUCAAUGCAAGAAAAAAACUGGGAAAGGUUUAGUAAAAAAGAGAUUAUAUGAAACUUAAAGAAGAUAAGGAUAUCAGGAGAGGGCAAUGGGAAAUGUUCCAGGAAUGAGGCGGAGCCUGUACAAAAUCAGGAGGCAAGGGAUGAAGUGUAAAAUUUGAGAUAUAGUCUGUAGUCCAGUUUGGAAGGGCAAGAGAACCCAUGAAGUAAGUGGGUUUAAAGACUGGAAGAUCAGGUUGGAUAUGAAUUGUAAGAGAACUUUGAACACUAAGCUAAAGGGUUUAAAAGGUUUUAUCCUAGACAUAAUACAUCAAAUGUUUAUCAGUAAAGACAUGAUUUGAUGAUACCUAUGACUUGCAAAGGUUAGUUUAGCAGCUUGGGACAGGGUGAACUUAAAAGGAAGAAGAGUAAAACUGGUUUAGACCCAUUACCAAGUCCAGGUAAGAGGUAAGGAAAUCCUGAGCUAGCAUCAGAGCCAUACCCAUGAGAAAAGGGUAUGUAUGAGAGAAGAUUAUCAACAACAGAGAAGCCAUUAAGAGGUUUUACUUUCUAAAAAUGAACAAGGAAACAGGUAAAUGAGGAAAUCAAAUUGAAUUUCCCUCACCAAAUCACUGGGUUUGCUCAUUUUUGUAUAUGUUGCAUCUCACAAGUAGAACAAAUAUAAAUCUUCACUCAUGCUAAAAAAGCCUACAAAGUACAGGCAGAGAGGGACCUUUUAUUAAAAUAAAAAAAUGUAUGUCUGCAAUCAAAAGCAAGCAUCACAUGCAAUGGAGAUAUGUUAGAACCUUUGCCAAAAAACGUAGGACUAAAGCAUGGAUGAUGCUGACUUUCUCCAUUGUUUGACCUAGUUCUUAGCAAUUCUAGUAAUAGCAAUAUGACAAAGAAAGAAUUAAAGGGAAAAAGAGAAAGUAAAGCUAUCCCUAUUUGCUAAUGACACACUGACUUAUUUAGAAAAUUCUAAAGAAUUAUCAAGGAUACUAUCGGAGGCAAUGAAUAGCUUCAGUAAAGAUGCAGGUUUCCAAAUCCUCAAAAAUCAUCAGCUUUUCUCUAAUGCAUAAAAUAUUCAGGGAUUAGUCUACCAAAUAACAUAAAAGACUCAAUUAUAAUAUAUACACACAUUCAAUUAUAAAGUCCUCUUUAAAGAAAAACAAAAAUUUAAAUAGCUACAGAAAUAUUUAUUGCUCAUGGCUGGGCUAUGUCAUGAUAAUGAAAAUGACAACAAAGUUAAUUUAGAAUUUUAAUAUUAUACCAAUGAAAUUAUCAAAGGAAUAUUUAUAAAACUCAAUAAAGUAAAAAGAUGGGGAAAUUAAAAAUCUAAAAUAUCAAGGGAAAUAAUGGAAGGAUUUGGGGAUAAUGGUAUAGAAGGAAUAAGCAAGUUAACUGUAUGCACAGCUCUAGCGUAAGCCUCCAUUUUGUGGGACCAACUAGUUGUUAUAUAAGCUGCUUUUCUGUAAUAAGGAUGGUGGUGUUCUCAGCACGAAAAGGAAAGUUUGGACAAGUGGCAGAGUAGGGAUAGUAAGAUUCAUUUUGAUCAUGCUAACUUUGCACUGUUGAAAGGCUAUUCUGUAAGAGAUGUUCUAGAGAAAAGUGGCAAUGCAGGUGAGAAUUCAGAGGAAUAGUUAGAGAUGAAUAAAGGGACUGGAAAUCUGAAUCAUGAUUGUUCCUGAGCUUUUGUGAGUUGAUGAGAGCCCCAAGAGAGGGUAUGGAGAGAGGAGAUGGGCCAGAAGAGAACCUUUAGGUAUCCUCUACUGAUGGGAUUGGAGAUGGACUAUAAACCAUCAGGAACCUGAGGUCAGUAACUAUUCUCUGGUUCCUAGCACAGUCCCUAGCAUAUUUUAGGUACUUAAUAAGUGCUGGUUGAACUGAAUUGAACUCAUCAAAAGAGUUUGAAAAGGAGUAGUUGGAUAAGAGGUGAACUAGGAGAAAGCAGUGUCACAGAAGACAAGGGAGAUUUUAAUUUUCUAGCAGGAUCAGGAGUGGUCAACUGUCAAAAGCUGCAGAAAUGUCCAGAAGAAUUAGAAAUGAGAAAAGGCCAUUGGAAGUAGCAGGUGAAUCCAUUGCUGAUGUUGGAGAAAACAGUUUCAAUAGUAUAAAGGGAUCAGAAGCCUGAUGGUAGUUAGAGAAAUUAGAAGCAGCAGCUUGUCACUGAAAAGGAAGAGAUCACUUGAGAGGGUGGCGGGUGAAGCUGUGUUUUUUUAAAAGAGUGAAUUAGGAAUGUAUGUUAGCCACAGGAAAGGAGCCGGUAGAAAAUGGUUACCUCUCUCCAGUGGAUCAGUGGUUAAAGGAUAUGAACAGUUAGUUCACAGAGGAAGAAAUCAAAACUAUCAACAGAUGAGGGGAAAUGCUCCACAUCACUAAUAAUAAGUGGAGUGUAUAUUAGAGCAACCCUGAAGUUCCCCCUCACAUCAAAAUCUGCGAAUCUCAUUAUCUUCCCUAUUUAUUUUAAGGAAAUCAUUCUUCCAGUCUCCCAGGCCAGCACCCUCGGGGUUAUGCUCAAACACUUACUUCUCUGGUUGGAAAUCUCUCCCUCUGGGCACUGGGCACAGUCAAAGCAGCAGAUGGGUUCACCCUCCUGGGCAAUUUUCCUGAGUCCAAAGCCACAGUGCUCAGUGCACACAGCCUGAAGGGUCUAGGCAAUAACAGUGAAGAGAGUGCAUCAAAGUCCUACUUGUGUCCUGCAGAGCAGAGGUUUGCCUUUUUUUUGUGAGAGCUAAUGAUACUGAUUUAGAAUUGGAAAAGAUAAUCCUGUUAUGAUUCUUAUAGAAAGGUAUCCCAAUGUGUAUUCACUUGGUACCUGACUUUGAUGGCAAAGAUGCUUUUUGUUUUUGCAUCUUUGGUAACUAGCACAGGGACAUAGUAUCCAAUGAACAAACAUUUAUUGAGGAGCCAAGAUGGCAAAGUCCUGGGAGAGACUCAGUUGAACUCUCCCAACAUUUGCCUCAGAACAACUUUAGAUUACAUUCUUAGCAGAGCCAACAAAAAGUGAGAUGUUUAUCCAGCCCAAGAUAACUUGGGACACCUGGGUGGUGGUAAACAUGGCGUGCAGCAAAUGCUGUGGCCAUAAUAGCAGUGGGUCUUGGAAGUAGGUACAGCAGCAGGAGCAGCUUCAGGAGCUCUCAGCCUACAGAUAAGGGGAUCAGAAAGAGAUGAAAGGGGAUCCUGUGCUGGUAUUGGGUGUCAUUCUGAUUCAAGGUUCCAGGGUGAAGAGGAACAUUAGAACUAAUGACCACAGAGGAGCAGAGGCCCUGGCCAUGGUUCUGUUGGUGGAUAAGAGUGCUUGGGAUUGCUCAUGAGAAAGCAGUGUCUCUGCUCUCAGUUCCAAGGUAGCAAGCACCAAGUUUUGAUUUUGGAAGGAAUAGAAAAUGGUUCCUUUCUACCCUUUUGGAUUUUGGAUUUAUACUAGAUGGGGGAGGGGUAGGGAGGAGGAUACGUUAUUUAUUAGUAAGGGGAGGAACAAAUGUGAAAGGCUGGUAGAAGGAUUAAGUACGGUGUCCAGCUUAUAGAGGGGCACAGUAACAACAGAGCAUAAACCAGAACAAUGAUUCGCAGACAACCAAGGAUUGCUCUUCUUCAGUCUGAUGAUGUCUGUUAUCUGAUACAAGUAGGAGGCCAGACUAGAACAGGAAUUGAACUCCUCAGUUAAGUUUUAGUAAUUGAUUUAAAUGCUAACUAAAAAAAAUUAAAUAUUCCUUAAAAAAAAAACCCCAAAACUAGCAGCCUUUCAAUUGAAAGGUAAUCAGGUCUCUUCCUGGUGAACGACCAGAGCACAGGCCAGGAGAGCAAUGACUACAACUUUCCUAUCUUGGAAACAUCAAAAAUUUGAGGAUCUUGAGAAUUAGUUCUGAAAAUAGCAUCAUGAAAAAGCCUGAAAUUGGGACAGUGUCUCCUACCCCCAGGUAAGUACAACCUAACUUUAACAUAAAAGUUCAAAGUAAAGAAAAAGGAUGGAAACAACAACAGCAACAAAAGAACCUAACUGUCAAAAAUUGCUAGGAUAAUAGGGAAAUUUAAGGCACAAACUUAGAAGAAGAUAUAAGGUUGUCAAAAUAACUAUAAGCAAUUUUUCAAAGAAAAAAAUGGGAAUUAGACAUGAGGCUGAGUGGGACAGGGGUCUCGAACAACAUACCCUCUCUUUCUACCAAUAAUUUCUGGAUUCUGGUACUGAAGUAAAAGCAGGUUUAUUGUAGCUUCUUCAAGGGGACAUCCCCUGGCUGCAGAUGCCCUAACAGCAAAUGUGGUGGCAAAAAAAUGCCCUAAUGGCAAGUGCAAGCAUCUAUGUGUAAAACAUACUUUUUAUAAUAAUACUGAUGCAAGAUUACCCCCCGCCCCUUCCCCCAUCCAAUCUUUUGUUGGGUUGGGAGCUGUGAUGUGAGCACCUGUACAGAAGCAUUACAAACCUCCAACAAGAUUUUCAUCCCUCCACACUUCCCUGCUACCUUAUCAAACUCACAAUUUUCCAUAACAAGGCUUGGGCCAGGGAGAUAAGUUCAGGUGAUACAUUUGCAAAGAAACAUGGUAUCUUCAAGAAAGUUACUGGGGGGCCUCCUGUCCUAGUUAUAUUUGUCCCUUCCUCCUGGCUUCUCUGGGACUCUCCCUGGACUCAUUCCCAGAGUGAAGCUUUUAGAUAAAAAUUAACAAAAGCAACAAAACUAACUCCUGCAUUUCUUUCCCUAGUCAGAGAAAAACUGUGCUUUAAACUGUGUGUGUGUGUUUUUUUACCCCCUGAGAAUAUUGGAGUACAAAUCAGGGGACUAAUAAUACCUUACUGAGAAAGACAUAAGACCAACAAAAAUUUCUGAUAGAGCUCAAAAAUGAUUUUUAAAAAUCACAUACAAUAGAGGAAAAAUUAGGAAAAGUAAUGAUAGUGAGCCAAAAUUCUGAAAAAGGAAUCAAUGAUUUGGUAAAUGAGACACAAAAAACACUUUAGAAAGUAACACCUUAAAAAAUAAAAUUGGGCAAAUAAUAAGACUUACAAAAA